rnacentral:rRNA from 1 species
CGUUAAUCGGAAUUACUGGGCGUAAAGCGCGCGUAGGCGGUUUGAUAAGUGAGAUGUGAACUCCCCGGGCUCAACCUGGGAACUGCAUCUCAUACUGUCAGGCUAGAGUACGGUAGAGGGGGGUAGAAUUCCACGUGUAGCGGUGAAAUGCGUAGAGAUGUGGAGGAAUACCAGUGGCGAAGGCGGCCCCCUGGAUCGAUACUGACGCUGAGGUGCGAAAGCGUGGGGAGCAAACAGG